UCGAUGAAGAACGCAGCGAAAUGCGAUAAGUAAUGUGAAUUGCAGAUUUUCAGUGAAUCAUCGAAUCUUUGAACGCACCUUGCGCCCCUUGGUAUUCCGAGGGGCAUGCCUGUUUGAGUGUCAUUAAAUCCUCAACCGCGCCGAUCGAUUUCGGUGGGGCUUGGACUUUGGAGCGUGCUGGCGAAGGUCGGCUCCUCUUUAAAUGCAUCAGCGGAAUUCAACCUUUGGCUUCCGGAUGUCAGUGUGAUAAUCAUGUUGCGCUGUCGUUUGAUCCCUCAGAGUCCGCUUAUAAUGGUCUUCGGACAAAAUCAUCAUCAAAUUUGACCUCAAAUCAGGUAGGACUACCCGCUGAACUUAA
rnacentral:rRNA from 1 species